AACACGUGAGAAUUUACCUUUAGGAGGGGGAUAACAGAGUGAAAACGCUGCUAAUACCCCAUAUGCUUUCGAGUGAAAUGGAUUUAUUCGCCUAAAGAGAAGCUCGCGGCUGAUUAGCUUGUUGGUAAGGUAAUGGCUUACCAAGGCGACGAUCAGUAUCUGGUUUGAGAGGACGAUCAGACACACUGGAACUGAGACACGGUCCAGACUCCUACGGGAGGCAGCAGUGGGGAAUUUUCCGCAAUGGGCGAAAGCCUGACGGAGCAAUACCGCGUGAGGGAUGAAGGCUUACUGAGUUGUAAACCUCUUUUUUCAAGGAAGAAGUUCUGACGUUACUCGAAGAAUAAGCAUCGGCUAACUCCGUG
rnacentral:rRNA from 1 species